CAGAGUGGCUCGGCCGAGUUGAGCCGGUGGGCGCGGUCUGGAAGACCGAGGGGCGGUGCUGAGGCGAGGAUGGAGUGGUUUAGGCAGCCCUAGCUGAGGCAGAUCACCUUUUGGUCUCAGAACCUCUUUCUGUGUCUUCCUUCUGACGAAUGAGGUCAUUUCACCCUCCACUGCCAGGCAGUCAUCUGAGGAGCUGGAAAGAGAGUGGAAGCUUAACCUUUAACAGCCCACAGCUUGGCAGCACCAGUUCCGAGCCAGAGAGGACAGUUUAACAAGCUGUCAUAAAGCCAAUGAGGAUCUCAGAUGGCCCAGAUAGAUCGCCACAGUUGGAAUUUGAUCAGAGAUUGGAGUUCUCAAGUGUAUGCAAAUCUUUGCAUUGAUUAUCUGGGCAUAUCAAACUCAACUGUGUGGAAGUCACUUCCUACUUAUGAUCUUCCUGCUUCCUGAAAAUCUUUUUAGGAUGGCCAGUUUUGUAUUUAUAGAACCCAAGGCCUGGCUUAUGCCAGGCGAGGGUUCUACUGCUAAACCGUGCCCUAGGCCCUCAGAGGGGGAUUCUGGCUGGGUAGGUAUUCAACCACAAAACUAUGACUUGAGCAAGAAUGGUCAGUUUUAAAUCUGUCCAGACAUCAAGCCUAAGGCUUCCAGUCCCAGCUCU
rnacentral:lncRNA from 1 species